rnacentral:rRNA from 1 species
UACGAAGGGGGCUAGCGUUGUUCGGAAUUACUGGGCGUAAAGCGCACGUAGGCGGGCAUUUAAGUCAGGGGUGAAAUCCCGGGGCUCAACCCCGGAACUGCCUUUGAUACUGGGUGUCUUGAGUGUGGAAGAGGUGAGUGGAAUUCCGAGUGUAGAGGUGAAAUUCGUAGAUAUUCGGAGGAACACCAGUGGCGAAGGCGGCUCACUGGUCCACAACUGACGCUGAGGUGCGAAAGCGUGGGGAGCAAACAGG